rnacentral:rRNA from 1 species
AUUGAACGCUGGCGGCAGGCCUAACACAUGCAAGUCGAGCGGAGCGGCGGACGGGUGAGUAAUGCCUAGGAAUCUGACUGGUAGUGGGGGAUAACGUCCGGAAACGGGCGCUAAUACCGCAUACUAUCAGAUGAGCCUAGGUCGGAUUAGCUAUUGGGUGGGGUAAAGGCCUACCAAGGCGACGAUCCGUAAAGGGACUGAGAGGAUGAUCAGUCAAACUGGAACUGUGACACUGUCCAGAAUCCUACGGGAGGCAGCAGUGGGGAAUAUUGUACAAUGGGCGAAAUCCUGAUCCAGCCAUGCCGCGUGUGUGAAGAAGGUCUUCGUAUUGUAAAGCACUUUAAGUUGGGAGGCGUUACCAACAGAAUAAGCACCGGCUAACUUCGUGCCAGCCGCCGCGGUAAUAC